CGUGGGCGCUGGAGAACUGAGGGGGGCUGCUCCUAGUACGAGAGGACCGGAGUGGACGCAUCACUGGUGUUCGGGUUGUCAUGCCAAUGGCACUGCCCGGUAGCUAAAUGCGGAAGAGAUAAGUGCUGAAAGCAUCUAAGCACGAAACUUGCCCCGAGAUGAGUUCUCCCUGAGACUUAGAGUCUCCUGAAGGAACGUUGAAGACGACGACGUUGAUAGGCCGGGUGUGUAAGCGCAGCGAUGCGUUGAGCUAACCGGUACUAAUGAACCGUGAGGCUUAACCUUACAACGCCGAAGCUGUU
rnacentral:rRNA from 2 species